rnacentral:rRNA from 1 species
UUGAACGCUGGCGGCAGGCCUAACACAUGCAAGUCGAGCGGAUGAAGGGAGCUUGCUCCUGGAUUCAGCGGCGGACGGGUGAGUAAUGCCUAGGAAUCUGCCUGGUAGUGGGGGAUAACGUCCGGAAACGGGCGCUAAUACCGCAUACGUCCUGAGGGAGAAAGUGGGGGAUCUUCGGACCUCACGCUAUCAGAUGAGCCUAGGUCGGAUUAGCUAGUUGGUGGGGUAAAGGCCUACCAAGGCGACGAUCCGUAACUGGUCUGAGAGGAUGAUCAGUCACACUGGAACUGAGACACGGUCCAGACUCCUACGGGAGGCAGCAGUGGGGAAUAUUGGACAAUGGGCGAAAGCCUGAUCCAGUCAUGCCGCGUGUGUGAAGAAGGUCUUCGGAUUGUAAAGCACUUUAAGUUGGGAGGAAGGGCAGUAAGUUAAUACCUUGCUGUUUUGACGUUACCAACAGAAUAAGCACCGGCUAACUUCGUG